GACGAACGCUGGCGGCGUGCUUAACACAUGCCAGUCGAACGGAAAGGCCUCUUUCGGGGGGUACCCGAGUGGCGAACGGGUGAGUAACACGUGAGUAACCUGCCCUUGACUUUGGGAUAACUUCAGGAAACGGGGGCUAAUACCGGAUAGGAGCUCCUGCGGCUUUGUGUGGGUUGGAAAGUUUCGGCGGAUGGGGAUGGACUCGCGGCUUAUCAGCUUGUUAGCGGGGGAGUGGCUUACCAAGGCUUUGGCGGGUAGCCGGCCUGGGAGGGUGACCGGCCACAGUGGCACUGAGAUACGGCCCAGGCCCAUACGGGAGGGAGAAGUGGGAGAUGGUAAAAAAGGGGUAGGAGCCUGAGGCAGCACCGCCAUGGGCGGGAUGACGGCCAUGGGGUUGUAAUCCGAAUUCGCUCAUGACGGAGAUUUGUGUGACGGUAGUGGGUGAAGAAGCUCCGGCUAACUACGUG
rnacentral:rRNA from 1 species